rnacentral:rRNA from 1 species
AAGCAGCCACUCAUUCAAAGAGUGCGUAAUAGCUCACUGGUCGAGUGAUCCUGCGCCGAAGAUUUCCGGGGCUAAAACUUACUACCGAAGCUACGGCAUCAUUAUGAUGGGUAGGGGAGCUUCCCAUACGGGUUGAAGCAUGACCGUAAGGACAUGGGGACAGUAUGGGAGUGAGAAUGUUGGCAUGAGUAGCGAGAUGUGGGUGAGAAUCCCACAGGCCGUAAACCCAAGGUUUCCAGGGGAAGGUUCGUCCGCCCUGGGUUAGUCGGGACCUAAGCUGAGGCCGAAAGGCGUAGGUGAUGGACAACAGGUUGAUAUUCCUGUACUACCGAUAACC